rnacentral:rRNA from 1 species
AUUGAACGCUGGCGGCAUGCCUUACACAUGCAAGUCGAACGGUAACAGGUCUUCGGAUGCUGACGAGUGGCGAACGGGUGAGUAAUACAUCGGAACGUGCCCGAUCGUGGGGGAUAACGAAGCGAAAGCCUUGCUAAUACCGCAUAAGAGUGACGGAUGAAAGCAGGGGACCGCAAGGCCUUGCGCGAACGGAGCGGCCGAUGGCAGAUUAGGUAGGUGGUGGGAUAAAAGCUUACCAAGCCGACGAUCUGUAGCUGGUCUGAGAGGACGACCAGCCACACGGGGACUGAGACACGGCCCAGACUCCUACGGGAGGCAGCAGUGGGGAAUUUUGGACAAUGGGCGAAAGCCUGAUCCAGCCAUGCCGCGUGCAGGAUGAAGGCCUUCGGGUUGUAAACUGCUUUUGUACGGAACGAAAAGACUCUUUCUAAUAAAGAGGGUCCAUGACGGUACCGUAAGAAUAAGCACCGGCUAACUACGUGCCAGCAGCCGCGGUAACAC